AUGAGGCGAACCGGGGGAACUGAAACAUCUAAGUACCCCGAGGAAAAGAAAUCAACCGAGAUUCCCCCAGUAGCGGCGAGCGAACGGGGAGGAGCCCAGAGCCUGAAUCAGUGUGUGUGUUAGUGGAAGCGUCUGGAAAGGCGCGCGAUACAGGGUGACAGCCCCGUACACAAAAAUGCACAUAUUGUGAGCUCGAUGAGUAGGGCGGGACACGUGGUAUCCUGUCUGAAUAUGGGGGGACCAUCCUCCAAGGCUAAAUACUCCUGACUGACCGAUAGUGAACCAGUACCGUGAGGGAAAGGCGAAAAGAACCCCGGCGAGGGGAGUGAAAAAGAACCUGAAACCGUGUACGUACAAGCAGUGGGAGCCUCUUAAUGGGGUGACUGCGUACCUUUUGUAUAAUGGGUCAGCGACUUAUAUUCUGUAGCAAGGUUAACCGAAUAGGGGAGCCGAAGGGAAACCGAGUCUUAACUGGGCGUUAAGUUGCAGGGUAUAGACCCGAAACCCGGUGAUCUAGCCAUGGGCAGGUUGAAGGUUGGGUAACACUAACUGGAGGACCGAACCGACUAAUGUUGAAAAAUUAGCGGAUGACUUGUGGCUGGGGGUGAAAGGCCAAUCAAACCGGGAGAUAGCUGGUUCUCCCCGAAAGCUAUUUAGGUAGCGCCUCGUGAAUUCAUCUCCGGGGGUAGAGCACUGUUUCGGCAAGGGGGUCAUCCCGACUUACCAACCCGAUGCAAACUGCGAAUACCGGAGAAUGUUAUCACGGGAGACACACGGCGGGUGCUAACGUCCGUCGUGAAGAGGGAAACAACCCAGACCGCCAGCUAAGGUCCCAAAGUCAUGGUUAAGUGGGAAACGAUGUGGGAAGGCCCAGACAGCCAGGAUGUUGGCUUAGAAGCAGCCAUCAUUUAAAGAAAGCGUAAUAGCUCACUGGUCGAGUCGGCCUGCGCGGAAGAUGUAACGGGGCUAAACCAUGCACCGAAGCUGCGGCAGCGACACUAUGUGUUGUUGGGUAGGGGAGCGUUCUGUAAGCCUGUGAAGGUGGCCUGUGAGGGUUGCUGGAGGUAUCAGAAGUGCGAAUGCUGACAUAAGUAACGAUAAAGCGGGUGAAAAGCCCGCUCGCCGGAAGACCAAGGGUUCCUGUCCAACGUUAAUCGGGGCAGGGUGAGUCGACCCCUAAGGCGAGGCCGAAAGGCGUAGUCGAUGGGAAACAGGUUAAUAUUCCUGUACUUGGUGUUACUGCGAAGGGGGGACGGAGAAGGCUAUGUUGGCCGGGCGACGGUUGUCCCGGUUUAAGCGUGUAGGCUGGU
rnacentral:rRNA from 1 species